rnacentral:rRNA from 1 species
AGGGUUUGAUCCUGGCUCAGGACGAACGCUGGCGGCGGGCCUAACACAUGCAAGUCGAACGCACUCGACCUUCGGGUCACAUGAGUGAGUGGCGAACGGGUGAGUAACACGUGAGAAACCCGUCCCGAAGACUGGAAUAACCCGAGGAAACUCGGGCUAAUACCGGAUGCCCCCACCGGAUCGCAUGAUCUGGUGAGGAAAUGCUCCGGCGCUUCGGGAGGGUCUCGCGGCCUAUCAGUUAGUUGGUGAGGUAACGGCUCACCAAGGCAUCGACGGGUAGCUGGUCUGAGAGGACGAUCAGCCACACUGGGACUGAGACACGGCCCAGACUCCUACGGGAGGCAGCAGUGGGGAAUCUUGCGCAAUGGGCGAAAGCCUGACGCAGCCACGCCGCGUGAGGGAUGAAGGCUUUCGGGUUGUAAACCUCUUUCAGCAGGGACGAAAAUGACGGUACCUGCAGAAGAAGCUCCGGCCAACUACGUGCCAGCAGCCGCGGUAAUUC